GAUGAACGCUGGCGGCGUGCCUAACACAUGCAAGUCGAGCGAAUGGAUUGAGAGCUUGCUCUUAUGAAGUUAGCGGCGGACGGGUGAGUAACACGUGGGUAACCUGCCCAUAAGACUGGGAUAACUCCGGGAAACCGGGGCUAAUACCGGAUAACAUUUUGAACCGCAUGGUUCGAAAUUGAAAGGCGGCUUCGGCUGUCACUUAUGGAUGGACCCGCGUCGCAUUAGCUAGUUGGUGAGGUAACGGAUCACCAAGGCAACGAUGCGUAGCCGACCUGGGGGGGUGAUCGGCCACACGGGGACUGAGACACGGCCCAGACUCCUACGGGAGGCAGCAGUAGGGAAUCUUCCGCAAUGGACGAAAGUCUGACGGAGCAACGCCGCGUGAGUGAUGAAGGCUUUCGGGUCGUAAAACUCUGUUGUUAGGGAAGAACAAGUGCUAGUUGAAUAAGCUGGCACCUUGACGGUACCUAACCAGAAAGCCACGGCUAACUACGUGCCAGCCGCCGCCGUAA
rnacentral:rRNA from 1 species